rnacentral:rRNA from 1 species
GUAGCGGGCCCGGGCGAGCUGGGUGGGAGAACAAGCUGAAACUUUCUCUGAAUUCAGUUAUUCUUCCCUUACAACACCCCUUUAGGACCCGAAAGCCUUCAUCACACACGCGGCGUCGCUCCGUCACACUUUCGUGCAUUGCGGAAAAUUCCCUACUGCUGCCUCCCGUAGGAGUAGGGG